AGAUAUCCAUCGGAGGUGGAGAGUUUGGUCCCUACUGCUUUGGGUAUUCAGAGAGUGCCUUCUUUUCUGCAAGUAGCGGAGAACAGCAAAGAGCGGAGGAUCCGAGACACAGAAUACACUUGUGAUGCAAGAUGAAUUCCUGAGGCAGGAGAUUUGCAGGGACGAAUAAUGAGUAUUACUCACUAAGAUCACUAAGCAAGUAUUAUAUAUUUUUGGUGCAGUAGUGCCUCAAAGCCUCAAUCACACUUCUGUUUAUGAGCACACCUCAUACCUGCAGUGUGAGAACUUCUGAGGAGCAUCCUGUGCUCUGAAAAGACAAGGUAACCAGGUAAAAAAAAAAAAAUCUUUCAACGCUUACUGUGGAACCAGAGGACAGCCUGAUGAAGUGAAUUGCUCAAGUUCAAAUGAGAAGGCUAUGGGAGAAUUUGGAUUUUGUGAGUCCCAGACUACCAGCUUAACCACAGAUUUACCUUUUCGCUGAAUAUAGGCACUGCAAAGACAUGUUUAACCUGUGAAUCUUGAACUUUUGGGACUGAGUCCAGAUGCAAGUUCCAUGCUGGGGCUGUAGCACAUCACUGGUAGUGGAACUGUGCUGAUGCUGGUCUGAUGACCUCUCUGAAACACUAGCUGUGGGAUGAAGGGUCUUCGUAGAAACAACUUGGCUGCUAGGCUGGCGUUGCUUGGACUCCUCCAAGGCUGCAAUUCCCUCAGCCCAGUGCUGUCCUGCACUAGAGAAGUGAGACUCUUGGCAGAGCGAUUCUCAUUCACUGCCUCUGGACUAUCCUAAUCCUUACUUGCCCAGUCUAGAGGCCCUCUGUCCUGUGUGGAGUUGGUACAUAGGUCACAGGGCUGGAAGUAUGUCAGUGCCUGCACUAGGCUGGAUUAAAUAUCUGGUGUUAUCUAUUAAAGGAAAAACAACUUCUGCAUCAUUUCAUAUGUUCUCUGGGGGUGGUUCUUUAAACAUUACAGAGAAUUGCUGUAUGUCUACCUCAGUUUCCUAUUGCUUUGUAGGUCCACAUACUGGACGUUUCCCAACAGCUUACUUUCACCAUGCAAUGCACUUGACUUCUUGUUUAUUGUUCUGUUGUAUCUUCAUUUCAACUUUAUGGGAAGGCUCUGUCCCUCUCCCACCUUCAUACAGCUUUUCUACUGGUAGCUUUUUAUUGAUGUCCUGAUCAUUUAGCUACUGUACCAUGUAACAAGAAAAUAACAUUUAGGCAUGAAGUCCUACAGUCUGCAACUAACUCUUUUCAUCCAGCAAACAAAACUUCCACUACUAUUGUCCACUCGGGAGGGAGCCUCAAAGACAUCCAGUGAGGACAGCUCUGUCUGCAGUGAUGGGGAUAUGCAGGGCUGUAAAGGAGUAAGAUUCAGGAUGGGAACAGUUCCAGGCAUGGAGGAAGAUAUACAGCAAUUGACAGGACUUUAUUAUAUGGA